rnacentral:rRNA from 1 species
UACGUAGGAGGCGAGCGUUGUUCGGAAUCAUUGGGCUUAAAGGGCGUGUAGGCGGGGAGGCAAGUGUCGGGUGAAAGCCCUCGGCUCAACCGAGGAACUGCCCGGCAAACUGCCUCUCUUGAGGCGGGUAGAGGUGAGUGGAACGACUGGUGGAGCGGUGAAAUGCGUAGAUAUCAGUUGGAACGCCGGUGGCGAAAGCGGCUCACUGGACCCGUCCUGACGCUGAGACGCGAAAGCGUGGGUAGCGAACAGGAUUAGAUACCCUGGUAGUCCACGCCGUAAACGAUGCGCACUAGGUAUGAGAGGUUCUGACGCCGAUCGUGCCGAAGGAAAACUGAUUAGUGCGCCGCCUGGGGAGUACGGCCGCAAGGCUAAAACUCAAAGGAAUUGACGGGGGCUCACACAAGCGGUGGAGCAUGUGGAUUAAUUCGAAGCAACGCGAAGAACCCUACCUGGGUUUGACAUGCACGGAUGCUCUUGGUGAAAGUCGAGUAAGCUGCCUUCGGGUGAAACGUGCACAGGUGCUGCAUGGCUGUCGUCAGCUCGUGCUGUGAAGUGUCGGGUUAAGUCCCUUAACGAGCGAAACCCCUAUCGUUAGUUGCCAGCGGGUCAUGCCGGGGACUCUAGCGAGACCGCCGGCGUUAAGCCGGAGGAAGGUGGGGACGACGUCAAGUCACCAUGGCCUUUAUGCCCAGGGUGUCACACGUGCUACAAUGGCCGGCACAGAGCGACGCGAUACCGUGAGGUGGAGCAAAUCGCACAAAACCGGCCUCAGUUCGGAUUGGAGUCUGCAACUCGACUCCAUGAAGCUGGAAUCGCUAGUAAUCGCGUAUCAGCCAUGACGCGGUGAAUAUGUUCCUGAGCC